AUUGAACGCUGGCGGCAUGCCUUACACAUGCAAGUCGAACGGUAACAGGUUAAGCUGACGAGUGGCGAACGGGUGAGUAAUAUAUCGGAACGUGCCCAGUCGUGGGGGAUAACUGCUCGAAAGAGCAGCUAAUACCGCAUACGACCUGAGGGUGAUAGCGGGGGAUCGCAAGACCUCGCGCGAUUGGAGCGGCCGAUAUCAGAUUAGGUAGUUGGUGGGGUAAAAGCCUACCAAGCCAACGAUCUGUAGCUGGUCUGAGAGGACGACCAGCCACACUGGGACUGAGACACGGCCCAGACUCCUACGGGAGGCAGCAGUGGGGAAUUUUGGACAAUGGACGCAAGUCUGAUCCAGCCAUGCCGCGUGCGGGAAGAAGGCCUUCGGGUUGUAAACCGCUUUUGUCAGGGAAGAAAAGGGUGUUUCUAAUACAGACGCCUCAUGACGGUACCUGAAGAAUAAGCACCGGCUAACUACGUGCCAGCCGCCGCCGUAAGAC
rnacentral:rRNA from 1 species